ACGUGCAGCCGAGGCCUCGCUGUCGAAAAGCAUCGGCUCACAUUCCUAUUUACUCUCGCCCCAAAGGCAGCGGCUCUUUGAAACAGGCAGAACUUGAAAGGGUGGGAACACAGAAACUGAUCAGUGGAUGUGCUCCAACAAGAGGAUCCCAUUGGAGGUGGUCAGGGGGAUGAGACGGAAAAGACGGUCAAUAAAAAAGGCGCUGACGCCCGGCGUCUUCCCACCUAGCCGUGCUACCCUACCCGACUCGACCCGACCCUCCAGCCGCAAGCAACUUCGGCCUACCAGAUGAAAAAUCCUCCUGCCUGGGGCUUUUUUGUUCCAAGGCCAAGCAGCGAGACGGAGGCAGGUGAACGAUAGCAACUCUAAUUAGCAGGGUGGUGGCUCCUGUGCUGUGGAGUUCCUGAGAUGAGUCGUCAGGGACUCAAGGUGCCUGGCUCAGUGGAGAAGACACAGAAAAACAGCUUUAAUUGCCUUCUCCAAAGGCUUUUCAGAGAAUUUGGCAGUACACGCAACUGGCCUCACAACCGCAGACCACACGCAACCAUACCGACCCAGGAUCUCCACAUCCGGCAUCUUCACCUCCAAGAAUACCUGAGACGAGCUGCUGCAAAAGAAUCCCGGUUGCAACUGUAGGGCAGUAAGGGAUGCUUUUAUUUUGGAAAUGUACUAUUCAUGUGUUAUUUUACAGCAUUGAUUUUAGUAAUAACAAUAAUAGAGGUUCAUUCACAUUUCAAAUUUAUGUCAGAUUUCUUUCCACGGCCAUUUCUCCCCCCCCACACACACUUUCCUGUGCCAGUCAAGUUGUCUUUUCAGUGUCGUGACAUGCUUUUGGGAAUGUGAGGAGAGUGUGGGUGGACAUUAAACACACCGACAACUGUAAGCCACUGCAACAAACAGCAGUCGCACACAUGUACACGCGAGCCUCGCAAUUAUAAAGACGCAACCGUGAGCGUCAGUGCGAACGCUGUGCGCCCACACAGAGGCUGGGACACAAUUACGUGGAACAAAGAACAAAAAAAACAAAGGGUGCUCCUUUGCUGACCCCUUGCACAUACAUGCGCGCGCACACGCGCAAACUGACGCACACUGACUUUUAAUCCUCAAGCACUCCUCACUCUCGCUCAUUCUCCCAGGCCAGCUCCGAGGCAUCUUCCUUAUUGCUGGGAUGAGACUGGAGACUAAAGAGGGCGCGGGGGGUUUUAGUAGAAAUGGCGGCCCGUCUUUUGUUUCCUGUUACAACAUGCAUUUCAUGGGGAGGCCUGGCUUCUGACCCCGCCGAUCACACACUGCGUUGAGGCCGGAGCUCCGAGGGAAAGCCCAUCUGUGGCAUCCAUCAGUGCUGCGCUCUCCUGCUGUGGUUCUGUCAGGAGCCGGAGGGGGUGGUGGCGGAGGAGGGACGGCUUAUGGGGGGGGCACGAUAAGGGGAGGUUAGGGGGAUGAGAUUUGUUCAAGAAUGGAGAUGAGGAAGAGGCGGAGGUGAAAUCAGUCCCCAAAAAUAGAGUUAAGGAACACAAGUUUCUCCUAAAUUCAACGUAGCACGAAGGAGAAGGAGGGACAACUGUGUGCAUGUGGGCAGGGAAACACAAUGGGAGUCUCGGAAGUGGGAGUAAGGUGGACUAUUGCGCAUUUAUACCAUGACAUCAGAAGCAGUGACGAUGAAUUACAUGCUUGUUGCAUAAUCAAAUUCUGAUAUUGCGUAACACUGCAUCAGCACGAUGCCAAUAAUUCUAUUCUAUUAUUUCUACUGCAUCCGAGAGAUCACCGGUGCACACAGAGGAGCUGCCACACAUACAAAUGGAUAGAGAUGAAACAAUGUGUUUAUUUUCUCGAGGCAUACAAGGGAGGCUUUCAAAUAGCAGAAGGCCAGGUAAAAGCAGCCGAGGCUGGAACUGAAAGACACCAGAUGUUGUUCUCAGCCUCCCCUCUGCCACUGCAUUCUCUCUGAAGCCUCUCUCAGUUGUUGCACUCACCCGAGGCACUACAAAGAGAUGAAAAAAAAAGUAUUGGUUUGAAGGUCAGUUUAAAUAAAAAUAUGUCAGCAAGUAUGACAGGCAGGUUGUGCUCUGGAUAAAUGUGGUGCUCCAAUGCCAGCAAGCUGAAACUGAUUGAUUGACUUGCAGAUGUCACAGACAGGCAGUGCAAGUAAGGAGAGACAGAAAGACAAAGCAAUAGAGAAUGUGGCUACUGUAGGAUGCGGAAGGAGCCGCACAUUACGUCCCGUAAGUGUGUUUAUUGUUGCAGAGACGAUAUGCACACAUUUUUACGCUCUCACACAUGCACACACAUACAGUAUACUGCUGGUCAGCGCUGGCCUGGUUGUGGUCAGUAGCCUGUGGCCAAGGCGGGCACAGGAGUCAGCUGUCAGCCUGUGAUGGAUUGAUACAGACACCCCACACCUCCGUCCUGACACGCUCAU